UUUGACUGGGGCGGUCUCCUCCUAAAGAGUAACGGAGGAGCACGAAGGUUGGCUAAUCCUGGUCGGACAUCAGGAGGUUAGUGCAAUGGCAUAAGCCAGCUUGACUGCGAGCGUGACGGCGCGAGCAGGUGCGAAAGCAGGUCAUAGUGAUCCGGUGGUUCUGAAUGGAAGGGCCAUCGCUCAACGGAUAAAAGGUACUCCGGGGAUAACAGGCUGAUACCGCCCAAGAGUUCAUAUCGACGGCGGUGUUUGGCACCUCGAUGUCGGCUCAUCACAUCCUGGGGCUGAAGUAGGUCCCAAGGGUAUGGCUGUUCGCCAUUUAAAGUGGUACGCGAGCUGGGUUUAGAACGUCGUGAGACAGUUCGGUCCCUAUCUGCCGUGGGCGCUGGAGAACUGAGGGGGGCUGCUCCUAGUACGAGAGGACCGGAGUGGACGCAUCACUGGUGUUCGGGUUGUCAUGCCAAUGGCACUGCCCGGUAGCUAAAUGCGGAAGAGAUAAGUGCUGAAAGCAUCUAAGCACGAAACUUGCCCCGAGAUGAGUUCUCCCUGACUCCUUGAGAGUCCUGAAGGAACGUUG
rnacentral:rRNA from 1 species